rnacentral:rRNA from 1 species
UACAGAGGUCCCGAGCGUUGUUCGGAUUCACUGGGCGUAAAGGGUGCGUAGGUGGCAUGUUAAGUUUGAUGUGAAAGCUCAGGGCUUAACCCUGAAAUGGCAUUGAAUACUAGCGUGCUGGAGGUUUGGAGGGGGGACUGGAAUUCUCGGUGUAGCAGUGAAAUGCGUAGAUAUCGAGAGAAACACCAGUGGCGAAGGCGAGUCCCUGGACAACACCUGACACUGAGGCACGAAAGCCGGGGGAGCAAACAGG